GUUAGUCAUUAUAUAAUAAUGGUAUUCGCGGUACUUUCUCAAACGGAUAUGAAAAAGAUUUAUUUGCAAAAGUGAUAUCGUAUGGAGAAGACUGUGCUAGUAAUCACCUUUUUGUAAGUGGGAGAUUUAUGGAAAUCUCAAGGUCAGCAUUAGCUUCUUGAAUUAUACGUGAAUAAUAUAAAGUUAAAUACAUCAUUUUGUUUUAUACGAUCGGUGCGUUUGUUGUGCAUGUACUUACUAUCUUUGAUUAUCGAAAUUAGUGUUCGAUUUUCAUGCAAGUGACCAGCAUGAUAUAUGAGAAAUAACGAGUUGAUUUUCACUUUUAUGAAGUAUAUUUAUACUUUUUGAAAUAUAUAGUAGUAGAAUAUAUAAAUUUACCUGGA